rnacentral:rRNA from 1 species
GUCUACAGCCAUGCUACCCUGAACAUGCCUGAUCGUGUCUGAUCUCGGAAGCUAAGCAGCGUCAGGCCUGGUUAGUACUUGGAUGGGAGACCACCUAGGAAUACCAGGUGCUGCAGGUA